rnacentral:rRNA from 1 species
AUGGGCGAUCCCUGUCGUUCGCCUCUCUCUCGAUCCUCUCUCCACCUCUCGGCCGCCGGCAAAUUCCGGCCGCUGCCGGCGGUCUCCGGCGCCGCCCAGCACUCCCUCGAGGUCUCCUCGAUCCGGUCUAUCUCCUCCACCCACUCGAUUCGACGCUCGCCUCCUCGUCCUGCGCUCGUGGCUAACCCUAGCCGCAACUGUCGCCGGCACGGCUCCGACGCCUCCUGGCGCUCCUCCACGCCUCUCCCGCGACACCGAGGCCGUCGAACGCGAGGGCAUGUACUCCCGGCUGCUGUGGUGCUUCUCGAUCUGCGCUCUGUUGAGAGGAGUCAGCCCCCAUAUGGUUCUGCACCAAGGUCAGGGGACGCUCGGCCACUGUCAUUUUCUUCGCCGUGGCCCCCAAGGCCGGCAAGGAGGUCUCAGGCAUGCUCGAGGCCACCGCCAGAUGGAGCAUGCCAUCGCCACCAUUCUUCCUACUUCGUAACCGGUCCUCUGCCCAUCCCCUCUUCUCCCCACGGGAUAGCCAGCAGCCCACCUUAUAGAGGAGGCAACAAUAUUUUCUGUGACUUCUCGCUUACUGCUGCUACUGCAAGUUGUUGGCUUGUCCAUGCUGCUGGUGCUGAUGCGGACACUGUGGCCGCCGUUUCCUCUGCACACCCAUUGGCCAUCCCAGAGAACUCGUCGAAGAUAAUCCAUGCCAUCGCGUGGGAUCGAUCUCCAUCGUCCUCGUCCUAUAGGAGCGAGCUGGGAGCAAGCUCGAACAGUUUGUCGUGGACAGAGAAGAGUGAGACUAAUAAGAGGCAUAUAUUCGAUGACUACGGUGGGAUGAAGUUGGGAAGUCACUCGCAGACGUUAGGGAAAUUGUAUGCCCGGGAGAAGAAACUGUAUGAAGAAGUCAAGGUGGGCCAUAGAUCAAAUCUGACAAGAGAAGAAAUGUGUGCAGCUGAGGAACCAAGACGCCAAAGGUGCAUAGCAACACUGUGCUGGAAAAACCAGGACAAAUGGGUUGCCAGUUUGAGUACCUUCUCAAAGUAUGCUACUGAAUCUAUCUAUGGUGAGAUUAAAAAAAAUACAACUGCUGAAACUCUUUUUGCGCUAUACGAGGUGAAUAACAUGAUCAUUCUUCAUGAAGUGCGUCCUAGGGAUAACUCCGCUCUCCCACGCAGCCACACCAACGUCACCUUGAGGGAGGAGUGGGUGGGAGGAGAAGGCGGCGCCGGCGGUUUCAAUCUGUCACAACGGCUCAUCUACAUGCGACAUACUCUUUCCUCCGAUGUCUACGGUGAUGACCACUACUUCUGCGACGCCUGUGAGAGUGACGCGGUCUGCAUCGAGGGUUAUUACAAUGGCAUAGAUGAGCAGCUGCUCGAGCAGGCGAUGAUGAAGGCGAGCGUCGACUCGGUGGGGGGUGGCGGAUGGCGAUGGCUCUCAGUUGUGUCUACACAUGUCGUAGCAACUAGAGAAAAAGUGCUCGGAAGGAGUGCAUGCCUACCUGGCACCGCACAGGAGUGCAUCAGGCGGCGCACCAUGGGCGCGCCCCAACUGCUACUUAUUUUUCGGGUAAUGAUGAUGGCUAGUCAAGAUGCUGCAAGCAUGGAAGGCAUCAACUCGAUCUAUGUGAGUGUGGUUUACCCCGUUGAAGCAGAUCAGAUCUGA